rnacentral:rRNA from 1 species
CCUACGGGUGGCAGCAGUGAGGAAUAUUGGUCAAUGGGCGAGAGCCUGAACCAGCCAAGUCGCGUGAAGGAUGACGGCCCUACGGGCUGUAAACUUCUUUUGUCAGGGAGCAAUUUGGUCCACGCGUGGGCUUAGCGAGAGUACCUGAAGAAAAAGCAUCGGCUAACUCCGUGCCAGCAGCCGCGGUAAUACGGAGGAUGCGAGCGUUAUCCGGAUUUAUGGGGUUUAAAGGGUGCGUAGGCGGAAUAGCAAGUCAGCGGUAAAAAUUCGGGGCUCAACCCCGUCGUGCCGUUGAAACUGAUGUUCUUGAGUGGGCGAGAAGUAUGCGGAAUGCGUGGUGUAGCGGUGAAAUGCAUAGAUAUCACGCAGAACUCCGAUUGCGAAGGCAGCAUACCGGCGCCCAACUGACGCUGAAGCACGAAAGCGUGGGUAUCGAACAGGAUUAGAUACCCUAGUAGUC